rnacentral:rRNA from 1 species
UACAGAGGUCCCGAGCGUUGUUCGGAUUCACUGGGCGUAAAGGGUGCGCAGGUGGGUUGGCAAGUUUGAUGUGAAAGCCCCGGGCUUAACCCGGGAAUGGCAUUGAAUACUGCUGAUCUGGAGGAUCGGAGGGGGGACUGGAAUUCUUGGUGUAGCAGUGAAAUGCGUAGAUGUCAAGAGGAACACCAGUGGCGAAGGCGAGUCCCUGGACGAUACCUGACACUGAGGCACGAAAGCCAAGGGAGCAAACAGG